CCAAUGUCGAUGAAGGAGAAAAGUAGGUCAGAGCCCAGUUUCACAGGGAGGAAACGCCACCGAUUGAGAGCGUUUUCAAAUAUGGCUGAUUGAAGUUCCCUCCGGAGAUGCCGACUGAAAGCAGUAGUAGGUUAGGCCGUCAUUCCCACGUUACCGGGAAGGGGGUAUCGGACACAGUUCCCGUACUCUUUGCCGAGGUGAGCCCGUUUUCGGGCUAACGAGGGUGGUAACGCGGUAAGCUUAAAGCUUUUCGUCCCUAGA
rnacentral:ncRNA from 1 species